rnacentral:tRNA from 2 species
GCCAGAGUGGCGAAACGGUAGACGCGCUACGUUCAGGGCGUAGUGAGAGCAAUCUCGUGGAGGUUCAAAUCCUCUCUCUGGCA